ensembl:snRNA U6 U6 spliceosomal RNA
GUGCUUGCUUCAACAGCACAUAUACUAAAAUUGGAACGAUAGAAAUUAGCAUGGCCCCUGCACCAGGAUGACACACAAAUUCGUGAAGAAAAAAAAAAAGUU